rnacentral:rRNA from 2 species
AGAGUUCGAUCCUGGCUCAGGAUGAACGCUGGCGGCGCGCCUAACACAUGCAAGUCGAACGAUUAAAGCACCUUCGGGUGUGUAUAAAGUGGCGAACGGCUGAGUAACACGUGGGCAACCUGCCCCUCUCAUUGGGAUAGCCACGGGAAACCGUGGAUAAUACCGAAUACUUCGAGUCUCCCGCAUGGAAGACUCGAGAAAGCUCCGGCGGAGAGGGAUGGGCCCGCGGCCUGUUAGCUUGUUGGUGGGGUAACGGCCUACCAAGGCAAUGAUGGGUAGCUGGGUUGAGAGACCGACCAGCCAGAUUGGGACUGAGACACGGCCCAGACUCCUACGGGAGGCAGCAGUGGGGAAUCUUGCACAAUGGGCGAAAGCCUGAUGCAGCGACGCCGCGUGCGGGAUGAAGGCCUUCGGGUUGUAAACCGCUUUCAGCAGGGACGAGGCGAAAGUGACGGUACCUGCAGAAGAAGCCCCGGCUAACUACGUGCCAGCAGCCGCGGUAAUACGUAGGGGGCAAGCGUUAUCCGGAUUCAUUGGGCGUAAAGCGCUCGUAGGCGGUCUGUUAGGUCGGGAGUUAAAUCCGGGGGCUCAACCCCCGUUCGCUCCCGAUACCGGCAGACUUGAGUUUGGUAGGGGAAGGUGGAAUUCCUAGUGUAGCGGUGGAAUGCGCAGAUAUUAGGAAGAACACCAGUGGCGAAGGCGGCCUUCUGGGCCAUAACUGACGCUGAGGAGCGAAAGCUAGGGGAGCAAACAGGAUUAGAUACCCUGGUAGUCCUAGCCGUAAACGAUGGACACUAGGUGUGGGGGAAUAUUUCUUCCGUGCCGCAGCUAACGCAUUAAGUGUCCCGCCUGGGGAGUACGGCCGCAAGGCUAAAACUCAAAGGAAUUGACGGGGGCC